UCUCCUGCCAUGAGGAUCCCUCAUUUCCAGAGGGAAGAGCAGGAGCAGAGCACCCGCCCUCCUGCAUUCCUCUGGAAUUGCUGCUCUCACCGUGUUUUCCCAGCUGGAAAAGCCCGGGCAGCUUGCAGGGAGGCAGUGGGAAUAAUCAGUCUUUGCCCUUCUCUGGUGCCUUUCAGCAGAGGAUCUCCAAGCACACUGAUCCAGAGGCUACUCAGGCAGAAAGGGAACAGCUGCCAGGACAGGGAUGAGGAGUGGCCUCACACACCAGGAGCAGUGGGCAUGAGGUUCUGCAUCUUUGCUGUACCCUGGCAUUAACUCCUACCUGCCUCCCACUUCCCUGGAAUCAUUGUGGAUGCUGCUGGUCCAUCAGGCUGAGGCAGAGCUCACCCUCUGGCAGACACACCUCACUGAUCAGGAUUAUGAUUUAUUUUCCAGGUAGGAUUGGUCCAACAGCCAGGCAGGUGAUGAGGAGCCUGAGCCCUGAUGCUGAUCCUCACCUCUGGGAGAGCAGAGCCAAAUCUGGGAGCUCAAACCCCCUUUGCCAGGAGAAGAGAUGGGAGCAGACACCGUGGCAAAGUGGUACCCAGCUGAAGCAACAUCCUGCCUCCAGCAGGGACCAUCCAGGCUGUCCCCAGCUCAGGAAUUCCCCCUCAUCCUCCAGAGGCAGCAGCACUGAGCCUGCUGUCAGAGCCACGCUGGGAGAAAGGGCAAAACCCUGCCGAGAUGAAAGAAUGGGAAGCACUGGAACAGCCUCCCCUGGCAUUUACACCUGGAAAAAAAAUAAAUCACUCAAGGGCAUCUCACAAAGAGCUGUGCUAACAAGGCUCUCCUCCCCACGCUGUGUGGCUGCGUGGGACAUGGAGCAGUGCCAGGAGUGCUGGCAGCAGCUCGGGGACCUGGCAGGGCAAAGGAGCAGCCCAGCAUGACCAGGAGCCUCUCCAAGCCCUCGGAACUGAAGGACAAGAGCAGAUGAACACUCCCCAGGCUGCACGUCCUGCUCCAAGGGAAAGCAGUGCAUAAACCAGGCAAACCUGGAAGGUUCCUGCCAACCAGGCAGCCAAGAGUUUGGAGGCUCAGUCCUCACUAGCAGGAACCCAUGGGUGACUGAUAUGACACAAGCAGGCUGAGCAGGGACCCCCCCAGUCCUCCAGCCUGAAUUACUGCAGAUGGGUUUGCCCAGAGGAUCAGCCAGAAAAGAAAAUGGGUGAGUAAAAAUGAAAAACAUUUUUUUUUCUUUUUU